GCCGCAAAGCUUCUUUUUCCCGCCCCUUGGAACGCAACUAGAGCCACCCUUUCGGUCCCGCCAGGCUCGGGAGAUUCUUAUUGUAUCCGGGCGCCGUGACUCCGCCCCCUUCUCCCAGGUUAAGCCAAGGGCCGCAGCCUAGGAAACCCGCUCGGAGUUGCUCCGCUUCGCCAAACUUCUUACAAGCUUCGCUUCAGCUUUUCUUCCCAAAGCCAAGUGAUCGCCGAGGCAGGGCAGGUUUCUUUUUCUCUACAGGGCGAUCCAAGUGUCCUCUUUACUUUCGGGAUUAAUACAAUAUAUUCAAACAGCUGAUAAGAGCAAGUGGUGAACGCAUUCUUCAGUGAUAGCCAUUUAUUUACUAACCCAUAACAGAUAAUGUGCAUUUUACAAAGCAUUUCAACAAGGCAAGUAUAUCUUAUUUAUAAAACAAAUACACAAAUUUGCCGAUCAACUUUAUUGUUUCCAGCAAUAUAUCUUUAAUAUACCCAGAUUUUGAAUUAUAAUUCAAAUAUAUUAUUCUUAUCAUACAAAAUUAUACAGGUACAAAUAGAUCACAAUUUAGAACACUACAUUAAUAUCUAAACAUAAUAGAUUUAAUUACUCUUGAUAAUAAAUGGAUAUAAUUUAAAAACAUAGGUACCUAAUUAUGUUUUCAUUGUUUUAAAUCUAUCUUUUCACAAAUUAAUGAGUACCUUACCAGAAGUUUACAGAGAGAAAUACAAAAGCUUUGUACCCUAUGAUACAUUUGAUAAAUAAUCUGAAACCUCAUGAUUACAGGGAAAAUCUUUAACCAGGAUGUUUCCUGUUCCCAAUAUGAAUAUUGUAUACCAUGUGAUUUUUGAAGACAUUGAGAUAUUUGAAAUAUGUAUGCUUAUGAUUAUCUUGAAAUGAAAAUUAAAUGAUCUUUACCUCCAUGUCAUAUGUAAUUAUUCAUAUGGGUAUUGUUUCAGGAAAAUAUCAGUUUUUCCUAUUAUUAGCUGAUACUAACGAGGAUUUCUACCAUAUGUGGUUUAAGAGCAAACAAAACAGUUAUUAAGAAUUCACCAGCAGUUGACAUUUUAAUGUAAUAUUAAUGUUUGAGGUUAAUAAAAUAGUCAACAUUUACUAGCUUUCAAAAUAUUGGUCAAUGUUCCUAUUGUUAUAAAGUUAUGCAAUAGGUUUUUCCUUUGUCAUCAUCUAGCACCCCUCAGUGAUAAUAAUAUGGCUACAUGACUUCAAAGUGUGAUGAAGAACAGUUUAUUAGAUUUGUACAUUUUCUUCAUGGACCUUUAGGUGAUAUGUUUAGUAUAACUCUUCCAAAACUAUUCUUGCAAAAAUGAUCUCUUGAUGUAACUUGGGCUGAGAGACAGUGCCUGGUCCAAAGACACUAGGCCUAGAAGAAGCUGCUAAUCAUCUGACCAUGACUAGAUUUGUAAUUCCUCAUGGGCCACUUCUAUUUCAGUGAUUGACUUUGUAAUCCAAGGACUCCAGAGUGAAUUAGCUUGGGGACAUCAUCAUCAAUAUGUUCAUUGAAAUUGUAAGUUAUUGCUUAGUUGGAACUGUAAGUUGUUGGUUAAUUUUGAAAUUUCUUAAAUAUAUUAACAGUAUAUCAGAAAGUCUUAGAUAACAACUACAAUUGUUGUCCAAUAUGUGAUCAUUGGGAAACACUAUACAAGAGGCAAAGUAGGUGAUUUAUCUGGAUUUUUAAUCCCAUAUACGGUGCUCCUCCCUAGCAAUAGUUUUUUAAGUACAUUUUUUUUACAAACAAAUAAUUCCAAGGGGGUUUAGAAUGAUCAGUUAGCAUUUUUAUAUGGGUACAUGCCAUAAAUCCAUAUGCAAAUUUAAAAACAUAAAAUUAGAGAAGCAGAAUAAAGCAAACAGGAUAAAAUGUGUCAAAAAGUACGUAAAGACAAAAUGUCAAGUUUAAAAAACAACUCAGCAACAAGUUGAACAUCUCUUCCAAUGUUUCACUUGAAUUUGAAGUGAUAAGAGGAAUAGAAUAAGGAAUUAUUUGCAUGUGGAUGACAUAGCCCAAAAGUUGUGUAUUUAUUUCAACAAUUGAACACAGAUAUUCUUUAUAUGCAACCAUUUUUCCCUUGCAUUCAGUAACUAUCUGGACAGGCCUUUUAGUUUUCUAAGCUUUUCAAAAGUAAUUUGCAAUUUGCCUCUUUCCUAGGACUGAAAAAAAGGAACUGACACAAGGUUACACAGUCACAGCUGACUUUGUACUUAAGGUUGGAAAUAACUCAUGGUCUCAGUUUCUGGUUUGAUGCUGUAACCACUACCUCAACUGUCUUGGCUUGGCCUCUCCCACUCUCCCUCCCUCCCUCCCUCCCUCCGUCCGUCCGUCCGUAUGUAUGUAUGUAUGUAUGUAUAAAAAAAGAGCUACUGAACAAUCCUCCAGAAUCAUAUUCUCAGAAGAAAUGCAUUGUAUUGAAUUCU